GAUGAAGAACGUAGCGAAAUGCGAUAAGUAGUGUGAAUUGCAGAAUUCCGUGAAUCAUCGAAUCUUUGAACGCACAUUGCGCCCCCUGGCAUUCCUAGGGGCAUGUCUGUUCGAGCGUCAUUAACAACCAUCAAGCGGGACCUGUCUGCCUCGCUUGGCCAUGGGGGAUGGCCGCCCUCGGGGCGCCCACCCCCGAAAUACAACGGCGGACAGCCACCACGGGGCACCCGGGCGUAGUAAGUUGCUCUCUCGCCCGCGCCCACGGAAUGGACUGUCCGGCCGGUCGAACCCCCAACAUCCAAUGGUUGACCUCGGAUCAGGUAGGGAUACCCGCUGAACUUAAGCAUAUCAAUAAGCGGAGGA
rnacentral:misc_RNA from 1 species